AUCUUUUUUCAGUUUUAAGCAUGACGACUGGGUGGGUGUUCACACUGUUGUGUAAGAUGUGCCUCCCUGCUAAACCUCGUUCCAAGACUGCAUGUUACCCAUCUGAUG
rnacentral:snoRNA from 1 species